UGGGGAAUUUUGGACAAUGGGCGAAAGCCUGAUCCAGCAAUGCCGCGUGUGUGAAGAAGGCCUUCGGGUUGUAAAGCACUUUUGUCCGGAAAGAAAUCCUUGGCUCUAAUACAGUCGGGGGAUGACGGUACCGGAAGAAUAAGCACCGGCUAACUACGUGCCAGCAGCCGCGGUAAUACGUAGGGUGCAAGCGUUAAUCGGAAUUACUGGGCGUAAAGCGUGCGCAGGCGGUUUGCUAAGACCGAUGUGAAAUCCCCGGGCUCAACCUGGGAACUGCAUUGGUGACUGGCAGGCUAGAGUAUGGCAGAGGGGGGUAGAAUUCCACGUGUAGCAGUGAAAUGCGUAGAGAUGUGAGGAAUACCGAUGGCGAAGGCAGCCCCCUGGGCCAAUACUGACGCUCAUGCACGAAAGCGUGGGGAGCAAACAGGAUUAGAUACCCUGGUAGUCCCACGCCCUAAACGAUGUCAACUAGUUGUUGGGGAUUCAUUUCCUUAGUAACGUAGCUAACGCGUGAAGUUGACCGCCUGGGGAGUACGGUCGCAAGAUUAAAACUCAAAUGAAUUGACGGGGUCAUAGCUGUUUCCU
rnacentral:rRNA from 1 species